rnacentral:RNase_P_RNA from 1 species
AGACCGAGCAAGACGACCGCGCGCAAUAUUUAUUUAUUGUGUGAGGAAAGUCCGAACACAGGCGAUGCUUUUUGUAUCGCAGAAAGGUAGCGGGUAACGCCCGUCCGCUGUAAAGCGAGAGGUGCGAGCAGUGACGCCAAACCCGAAAGGGAGAGGGCUCCUAUAUGGAGUAAUCAUGCGGAAACGUAUGGGUGAAACGGCAAAAUCCUUAUCCCUGUGCAAGGUCGUGCUAAACCACGAAUCUCGUGAUUUAGAGUGCCGCUAGAAGGUGUCGGUAACGAUACCUCAAGAUAAAUGGUCGUCCAUGUCUCUUUGAGACGUGACAGAAUUCGGCUUAUCAGUUCGGUCUAAAU